rnacentral:rRNA from 1 species
UGGGGAAUAUUGGACAAUGGGCGAAAGCCUGAUCCAGCCAUGCCGCGUGUGUGAAGAAGGUCUUCGGAUUGUAAAGCACUUUAAGUUGGGAGGAAGGGCAUUAACCUAAUACGUUAGUGUUUUGACGUUACCGACAGAAUAAGCACCGGCUAACUCUGUGCCAGCAGCCGCGGUAAUACAGAGGGUGCAAGCGUUAAUCGGAAUUACUGGGCGUAAAGCGCGCGUAGGUGGUUAGUUAAGUUGGAUGUGAAAGCCCCGGGCUCAACCUGGGAACUGCAUCCAAAACUGGCAAGCUAGAGUACGGUAGAGGGUGGUGGAAUUUCCUGUGUAGCGGUGAAAUGCGUAGAUAUAGGAAGGAACACCAGUGGCGAAGGCGACCACCUGGACUGAUACUGACACUGAGGUGCGAAAGCGUGGGGAGCAAACA